CCUCUGAAAGACAGAAAGUUAAAAAAAAAGGUUAAAAUGGAUAUGAUCGGAGCAACUGUAGCAAUUAUGGGCACCUUCUUUCGUAUACUCAUUAUCAGACUUAUCGAGAAAUAGUGAAGAACUUGUGAGAUUACAAGAUAUGUCUGUGACGCGUCCGAUGUUC
rnacentral:ribozyme from 11 species